rnacentral:rRNA from 1 species
UACCGUGAAACUGCGAAUGGCUCAUUAAAUCAGUUAUCGUUUAUUUGAUAGUACCUUACCACUUGGAUAACCGUGGUAAUUCUAGAGCUAAUACAUGCUAAAAACCCCGACUUCGGAAGGGGUGUGUUUAUUAGAUAAAAAACCAAUGCCCUUCGGGGCUCUUUGGUGAUUCAUGAUAACCUAACGGAUCGCAUGGCCUUGCGCCGGCGACGGUUCAUUCAAAUUUCUGCCCUAUCAACUUUCGAUGGUAAGGUAUUGGCUUACCAUGGUUUCAACGGGUAACGGGGAAUUAGGGUUCGAUUCCGGAGAGGGAGCCUGAGAAACGGCUACCACAUCCAAGGAAGGCAGCAGGCGCGCAAAUUACCCAAUCCCGACACGGGGAGGUAGUGACAAUAAAUACUGAUACAGGGCUCUUUUGGGUCUUGUAAUUGGAAUGAGUACAAUUUAAACCCCUUAACGAGGAACAAUUGGAGGGCAAGUCUGGUGCCAGCAGCCGCGGUAAUUCCAGCUCCAAUAGCGUAUAUUAAAGUUGUUGCAGUUAAAAAGCUCGUAGUUGAAACUUGGGUCUGGCUAGCGGGUCCGCCUCACCGCGUGCACUUGUCCGGCUGGACCUUUCCUUCUGGAGAACCUCAUGCCCUUCACUGGGUGUGUUGGGGAACCAGGACUUUUACUUUGAAAAAAUUAGAGUGUUCAAAGCAGGCCUUUGCUCGAAUACGUUAGCAUGGAAUAAUAGAAUAGGACGUGCGGUCCUAUUUUGUUGGUUUCUAGGAUCGCCGUAAUGAUUAAUAGGGAUAGUCGGGGGCAUCAGUAUUCAAUUGUCAGAGGUGAAAUUCUUGGAUUUAUUGAAGACUAACUACUGCGAAAGCAUUUGCCAAGGAUGUUUUCAUUAAUCAGUGAACGAAAGUUAGGGGAUCGAAGACGAUCAGAUACCGUCGUAGUCUUAACCGUAAACUAUGCCGACUAGGGAUCGGGCGAUGUUUCUAUCUUGACUCGCUCGGCACCUUACGAGAAAUCAAA